GAGUUUGAUCCUGGCUCAGAUUGAACGCUGGCGGCAUGCCUUACACAUGCAAGUCGAACGGCAGCACGGGAGCUUGCUCCUGGUGGCGAGUGGCGAACGGGUGAGUAAUGCAUCGGAACGUAUCCUGGAGUGGGGGAUAACGUAGCGAAAGUUACGCUAAUACCGCAUAUUCUGUGAGCAGGAAAGCGGGGGACCUUCGGGCCUCGCGCUCUUGGAGCGGCCGAUGUCGGAUUAGCUAGUUGGUGAGGUAAAGGCUCACCAAGGCGACGAUCCGUAGCAGGUCUGAGAGGAUGAUCUGCCACACUGGAACUGAGACACGGUCCAGACUCCUACGGGAGGCAGCAGUGGGGAAUUUUGGACAAUGGGGGCAACCCUGAUCCAGCCAUGCCGCGUGAGUGAAGAAGGCCUCGGUUGUAAGUA
rnacentral:rRNA from 1 species